CCUACGGGUGGCUGCAGUGAGGAAUAUUGGUCAAUGGGCGCGAGCCUGAACCAGCCAAGUCGCGUGAAGGAUGCCUGCCCUACGGGUUGUAAACUUCUUUUAUAACGUCAUAAAGUGAUGCACGUGUACCUUUUUGUAUUUACUUUAUGAUUAAGUGUAGGCUAACUCCGUGCCAGCAGCCCCGGUACUACGGUGAAUCCGAGGGUUAUCCGGAUUUAUUGGGUGUAAGGGGAGCGUCGAUGGGUUGUGAAGUCAGGUGUGAAAGUUUGUGGCUCAACCGUAAAAUUGCAAUUGAUACUGGCAGUCUUGAGUACAGUAGAGGUAGGCGGAAUUCGAGGUGUAGCGGUGAAAUGCUUAGAUAUCACGAAGAACUCCGAUUGCGAAGGCAGCUUACUAAACUGCCACUGACAUUGAUGCUCGAAAGUGUGGGUAUCAAACAGGAUUAGAUACCCCAGUAGUC
rnacentral:rRNA from 1 species